AUAGUUCGAGGCUUGCCAAAUGACUAGAUCAGCUGAGCGGCCGACUUUGAGCUGACCGGCUUCCUCUCCUUUCCC
rnacentral:tRNA from 1 species